rnacentral:rRNA from 1 species
UAAACUAGGAUUAGAUACCCUAUUAUUUUAAAUGUAAGUUUUCCUAGGUAGUAUUAGUUUUGUUCUUUAAACCUAAAGAAUUUGGCGGUGUUUUAUUCUAUUCAGAGGAAUUUGUCCCUUUAUCGAUAAUCCUCGUUUUAUCUUGCUUUAUUUUAUUAAGUAUGUAUAUCGCCGUUAUAAGUUUAUUUUUUUAGAUUAUUUACUUAAUAUUUUAUUUAUUAUUAUUUC